rnacentral:rRNA from 1 species
AGUGAACGCUGGCGGUAGGCCUAGCACAUGCAAGUCGAACGGCAGCACAGUAAGAGCUUGCUCUUACGGGUGGCGAGUGGCGGACGGGUGAGGAAUACAUCGGAAUCUACUUUUUCGUGGGGGAUAACGUAGGGAAACUUACGCUAAUACCGCAUACGACCUACGGGUGAAAGCAGGGGAUCUUCGGACCUUGCGCGAUUGAAUGAGCCGAUGUCGGAUUAGCUAGUUGGCGGGGUAAAGGCCCACCAAGGCGACGAUCCGUAGCUGGUCUGAGAGGAUGAUCAGCCUCACUGGAACUGAGACACGGUCCAGACUCCUACGGGAGGCAGCAGUGGGGAAUAUUGGACAAUGGGCGCAAGCCUGAUCCAGCCAUACCGCGUGGGUGAAGAAGGCCUUCGGGUUGUAAAGCCCUUUUGUUGGGAAAGAAAAGCAGCAGGUUAAUACCCCGCUGUUCUGACGGUACCCAAAGAAUAAACACCGGCUAACUUCGU